rnacentral:lncRNA from 1 species
CGGCCCCGCCCCUCACGUCACCGCCCGACGGCCCCGCCCCGCGCCCCAAGUUUUGGGAGGGUUCCGCUCUCCCCACCCGGUACCAGGACCCACCCGGGCCCGCGCUCCCUGCGGCUUCCAGGGACCCUCCAGCCCCCACGCACCCUCCUGCAAAGCCGAGGGUUAAGCUGGGGAAAGGGGGCCUCUAGGAAGGCGACCCCCCUGGAAAUGCCUGGCAGCUCCAAAAACACUAAUGAAACUCAGCUCCAGCCUCCGCCCCUCCAGUUGUGGGUGGCCCCUCUUGCGGUUCGUCUGAGGCUAGGGGACUAGGCGCAUCGCCUAGCGAGACUCCAGUGGCCUUUUCUGUCCAGUUUGUAACCGGAACUAGACCGACCCCGGCCGCCCCCUCCAGUGCUGGGGCGGGUGAGGAAUGGCCCCGCCGGGGAGGCGGGGGAGGGAGGCCUGGGCCACCCUGGGGUCUGACCUUUGCUCCACCUCUUAGGUGCUCACGACCCAGAGUGGUGCCCUGCUUGGUACUGCCACUGGAUCCUCUGGCUUAUGAAGCCGUCCAGGACAGGAAGGGUGGGGGGUGGUCCUUAGUUCUCUUCGUGGGGUCAUGCAGAGUGGUUUCCUCGAGGUCCCACGCCCGUCUCAGGAAGCCAGAAACGCAAGAUGCCGGGCGCUCGGCCCGAACCCGUGCCGCGGCCCAAGGGGCAAGGCGGAUACCGAGGCAAGGCCUAAAGGGCCGGACUCUGACCGCACCCUCCGGACACUGCAGGGCUCCGCCGGCCAGAGGCGGCCUUGGCGCCAACCACACCUAGCAGCGGGGUCCCCGGGCCCACCGAUGCGCCCUCCUAGCCCCGCGCUCCUUCGAGGGGUUCCAAGGUGACUCAGAGACGCAGCUGACACAAUUCUGAGGCCCCCAGGUAAGCCUGGCGAUACCGGAUGGAGAAGUUACCUGGUCUUGAAAGGCCCAGUCCAGCCAGCGAGACCCGCGUGCGCUCCGCGGGGAGGCAAGCCUAACCAGGGGCUCACCUGGAAGCGUCCCCGCCCCCUGGUCCUUAUCUCUGAAUCGAAACCGAACCUGGACCCAUCUAGAUAAUUGGACUGAGCAAUUAAGGACGCUUCGCUCCUAACUGUUAGCAUUUUUUCCUAAGGCUCUCGGAGGCGGAAUCAGCUGGAAAGGAACAUUGCUAAGUAGGAAUUUCAGGCACCUGUGAACUGAGCCCACUCAAUAAUCGGCCCUUUCCCUUAACCAAACUCAGCAAAGGAAGAAAGACCAAGUUGCUGCGGAUGCACAGAGCCACGUGGGUGCGGGUCCUCUAGAAACAGGAAUUCAGAGUCAGUAGAUAUGGAAAUGUUAUGGUUUGCAGUCUUCGGACCAUGCUGCUUUCAUGCUGUUCACAUGAUUCUCCUCGGACUGCGAGUCUUGGCCAUGGAACCAAGUCCCCAUCAGGAUAAAGUAUGAGUGGUAUCUUG